UUGUUGGUAAGGUAAAAGCUUACCAAGGCUUCGAUCAGUAGCUGGUCUGAGAGGACGACCAGCCACACUGGGACUGAGACACGGCCCAGACUCCUACGGGAGGCAGCAGUGGGGAAUUUUGGACAAUGGGGGCAACCCUGAUCCAGCCAUGCCGCGUGAGUGAAGAAGGCCUUCGGGUUGUAAAGCUCUUUCAGCCGGAACGAAACGGUUACGGAUAACACCCGUGACUACUGACGGUACCGGAAGAAGAAGCACCGGCUAACUACGUGCCAGCAGCCGCGGUAAUACGUAGGAUGCGAGCGUUAAUCGGAAUUACUGGGCGUAAAGCGUGCGCAGGUGGUUUUGUAAGUCAGAUGUGAAAGCCCCGGGCUCAACCUGGGAACUGCGUUUGAAACUACAAGACUAGAGUGUGGCAGAGGGGGGUGGAAUUCCGCGUGUAGCAGUGAAAUGCGUAGAGAUGUGGAGGAACACCGAUGGCGAAGGCAGCCCCCUGGGUCAACACUGACGCUCAGGCACGAAAGCAUGGGGAGCAAACAGGAUUAGAUACCCUGGUAGUCCAUGCCCUAAACGAUGUCAACUAGUUGUCGGGCCUUUACGGGCUUGGUAACGUAGCUAACGCGUGAAGUUGACCGCCUGGGGAGUACGAUCGCAAGAUUAAAACUCAAAUGAAUUGACGGGGACCCGCACAAGCGGUGGAUUAUGUGGAUUAAUUCGAUGCAACGCGAAAAACCUUACCUACCCUUGACAUGUAUCGAAGCCCGCGGAAAAGCGGGGGUGCCCGAAAGGGAACGAUAACACAGGUGCUGCAUGGCUGUCGUCAGCUCGUGUCGUGAGAUGUUGGGUUAAGUCCCGCAACGAGCGCAACCCUUGUCAUUAAUUGCCAUCAUUUAGUUGGGCACUUUAAUGAGACUGCCGG
rnacentral:rRNA from 1 species